GACGAACGCUGGCGGCGCGCUUAACACAUGCAAGUCGAACGGAAAGGCCUGCUUUCCCUUGUGGAUUGCGGGUACUCGAGUGGCGAACGGGUGAGUAACACGUGAGUGAUCUGCCCCCAACUUGGGUAUAAGCCUGGGAAACUGGGUCUAAUUCCCGAUAGGACUGCAGGGUGGUGCCUGUGGUGGAAAACGAUUUUCUAGUGGUUGGGGAUGAGCUCGCGGCCUAUCAGCUUGUUGGUGGGGUAAUGGCCCACCAAGGCGGCGACGGGUAGCCGGCCUGGGAGGGUGGACGGUCACAUUGGGACUGAGACACGGCCCAGACUCCUACGGGAGGCAGCAGUGGGGAAGAAUGGACAAUGGGCGGAAGCCUGAUGCAGCGACGCAGCGUGGGGGAUGACGGCCUUCGGGUUGUAAGCUCCUUUCGACCGCGAGGAAGCCACCUGGUUGGAAGGGUGGUGACGGUAGUGGUAGAAGAAGCACCGGCUAACUACGUG
rnacentral:rRNA from 1 species